rnacentral:rRNA from 1 species
AACGAACGCUGGCGGCAUGCCUAACACAUGCAAGUCGAACGAGACCUUCGGGUCUAGUGGCGCACGGGUGCGUAACGCGUGGGAACCUGCCCUUAGGUUCGGAAUAACUCCCCGAAAGGGGUGCUAAUACCGGAUAAUGUCUUCGGACCAAAGAUUUAUCGCCUUUGGAUGGGCCCGCGUUGGAUUAGCUAGUUGGUAGGGUAAAAGCCUACCAAGGCGACGAUCCAUAGCUGGUCUGAGAGGAUGAUCAGCCACACUGGGACUGAGACACGGCCCAGACUCCUACGGGAGGCAGCAGUGGGGAAUAUUGGACAAUGGGCGAAAGCCUGAUCCAGCAAUGCCGCGUGAGAUGAAGGCCUUAGGGUUGUAAAGCUCUUUUACCCGGGAUGAUAAUGACAGUACCGGGAGAAUAAGCUCCGGCUAACUCCGU